rnacentral:rRNA from 1 species
CAGUAGCCGCGGGAAUACGGAGGGUGCAAGCGUUAAUCGGAAUUACUGGGCGUAAAGCGCACGCAGGCGGUUUGUUAAGUCAGAUGUGAAAUCCCCGAGCUUAACUUGGGAACUGCAUUUGAAACUGGCAAGCUAGAGUCUUGUAGAGGGGGGUAGAAUUCCAGGUGUAGCGGUGAAAUGCGUAGAGAUCUGGAGGAAUACCGGUGGCGAAGGCGGCCCCCUGGACAAAGACUGACGCUCAGGUGCGAAAGCGUGGGGAGCAAACAGGAUUAGAGACCCGUGUAGUCCCUGUCUCUUAUAC